AUAAUUAGCGAAAUACAGCAAAUAUAUAACAUCACAUGCAUCGUUACUUUCAACUUUUCAAGUCAAGAUGAAGACGUUCCUUCUAUUCAUGGUUCUGAUGGCUUUCGUCUCAUCCAUCUAUUGUCACCCACAUCCUCCCGGGUUCGUUUGCAUGUGUGCACCCGGCGAGCCUGUGUGCGCGAGCAACCACCGGACUUACUAUGGCGAGUGUAAUAUGAGGUGCGAUGCAAGUCUGAAAAACAUUUACUUGACGAAAUUAUACGACGGACCGUGUAAAGAAUAGGUGCAUUAUAAAUUUUCGACUGAAAAAACGUAUGGAGUAAUAACAUCUAUCACAAACCACGUUUCUGGUCGAAAAUAAUGAACAUCCUGUCGAAUAAAUAAAGCUAAAAAAAUAA